CCUCAGCUCAAAGGACUACUUACACUAUUCCAACCAUUAGAGUUACUUGCUUGACAUGUGAGUAGACUUCCAUGCAAGUACUCUCGUUCGAUUGUGUUCAGUGAACUCAUUCCCUUAAUAAGCACCUACAUACUUGUCUUAGUGUCACUACACGAAUGGGAUGAGACUUUCCAUCCUUCUAAUUGAAGCGGACAUAGUAUGUACCGGUCUAUGCAUUGUUAGUAUCCCUCCGACAAUCUUAUGACCAGGAACCUUUUUGGACAUGAUGGUUAUGGGAAGAAGGUCUCUGUAGUCUAACAUCAUUAGAUUACUUCUUCCAUCAAUCCAUUGUCCAUGGAUUCACUAUUUAGGACAUAUAUCGUUUAUAGAGAUAGUCCUAAUUAGUAUCUUUGCCAUUUGAUGAAUAAGAAUCAUCCAUACAUCCAUUCAUUGUCCUGAAAGGUUUCUUCCAAAGAUUGACUUUCAAGGCAUAUCUCCAACACUCCACACAUGACACACUUGCAUACAAAUCGAUUUCCAGUUGCUUUUCCAAUAAACCAUGAACCUCAACGCCCUAGAUUAAUCGUGAACAGCACUAAUUAACCCUCAGAUUUUCCUUAAGUCAUUGAAUUGGAUGGACAACGCAUCGGCAACCAAAUUAUUCUUUAAUAUUUCCCUACACAAAUUGAAUUGGAUGGACAACGCAUCGGCAACCAAAUUAUUAUUCAAUAGUUCCCUACACAAACAACAUAAUAGAGAUACAAUCAAAGAUCAAGAAGCUUUGUGAAAAUCAUAAGCAUUGACAAGGCAUUCGUAACAAUGACAGCAUGAUACUCCUACCAGGAAUUCACUUAACACGAUUGUGAUUAGCAACCUCCACUACUUGUGAAUAUAAGUUCAUAAAUAUUAGGUGAAAUUCCCUUAUAUUCUAGCAUUAAAUCCCUGCAUGCAAACUAAGUGUGCACCCUUAAUCAACAAACAAGAAUAAGUUCUGAAUCAAACAGUUAAGUAAAUUGCAUUCACGAUUCAUGAAAUCACAACUGGAAGUAAUCAAUUCAUAUUGCAAAUAUGUUCAUGGCUUUGAAUUUCCCUUAGCUAAAACGAGUUUAGCUCCUCAUGUUUGCAAUUAAACAAAGACAAUUAAAUUUGUUUGUACCAUACUUGACCAAUCCUUAAACUACUGAGCACCGGUCAACGUUAUACCGUCAAGGACCCAGAAGAGUUUCCCUCUAACCAGGAGGCCAAUCAUAGCACGACACGUGUCGAUAUCAGAAGCCAAUCAUAGCACGACACGUGUCAACAUCAGAAGCCAAUCACAACACAAUGUCAGAAUGAAACUAGAAACUUUCUUCUAUAAAUAUUGAUCAUUCUCUCACAAUAUUUCCUAAUGCCAUUUGUACUAAAUCAUUCAUUUGUACUCACUAAAGGAGAGCUUGAACCUAUGUACUUGUGUAAACCCUUCACAAUUAAUGAGAACUCAUUUAUUCCGUGGACGUAGCCAAUCUGGGUGAACCACGUACAUCUUAUGUUUGCUUCCCUGUUUCUAUCCAUUUACAUACUUAUCCACACUAGUGACCGAAGCAAUCUAGCGAAGGUCACAAACUUAACACUUUCUGUUGUACCAAAGUCCUCACUGAUUUUGUGCAUCAACAUUUGGCGCCGUUUGUGGGAACGACACUUAAUCCCACUCUCUUCAGCUUUGUCAAGCUGGUUUCCACCAUUCGUACACCCUCUUUUGACC
rnacentral:lncRNA from 1 species